CUGAGAGGAUGGUCCUCUGCCAGUAUAAAGGUAAAAGGGCUUCUUAUUUUCAUAAGCAUGAAGGAUUUGGUCCAUAUCUCUGUGAGAAAAAAAGAUUCCUCUCCGUAGAAAUCGGUGAGGUUUUUGCCCAGUAGCUCUUUCUAUUCGAUUGAUCAGAUCUGUAUCGAUUUUAGUGCUGCCAAACCGAACUAUGAGUUUGUCAUAAUCCACGCCUUUAGCAUUUGAUGUCUGCACGUUCCAGGGGUCCACAAGAUCUUCAUCCUCUUCUUUAGUUGUACCAUUGUUUAUUAAUGCAUGAUCUUUUGGAGGUAAGCCUGCCUGAUA
rnacentral:lncRNA from 1 species